AUUGAACGCUGGCGGCAGGCUUAACACAUGCAAGUCGAGCGGAGUGAUGGUGCUUGCACUAUCACUUAGCGGCGGACGGGUGAGUAAUGCUUAGGAAUCUGCCUAUUAGUGGGGGACAACAUCUCGAAAGGGAUGCUAAUACCGCAUACGUCCUACGGGAGAAAGCAGGGGACCUUCGGGCCUUGCGCUAUCAGAUGAGCCUAGGUCGGAUUAGCUAGUUGGUGGGGUGAUGGCUCACCAAGGCGACGAUCCGUAACUGGUCUGAGAGGAUGAUCAGUCACACUGGAACUGGGACACGGUCCAGACUCCUACGGGAGGCAGCAGUGGGGAAGAUUGGACAAUGGGCGAAAGCCUGAUCCAGCCAUGCCGCGUGUGUGAAGAAGGUCUUCGGAUUGUAAAGCACUUUAAGUUGGGAGGAAGGGCAGUAAGCUAAUACCUUGCUGUUUUGACGUUACCGGCAGAAUAAGCACCGGCUAACUCUGUGCCAGCCGCCGCAGUAA
rnacentral:rRNA from 1 species